GUGGUAACAGCUACCUGUACUAGCUAUCAUGUUGUUAGAAAUGGUUCUGAUUCGCUUGUCAGGUUGAUGAGGAGCGUGAGCGGAAGGGGGGCAGUUUGGUUAUGUUAAAUUCAAUUGAGGUUACAGGAUUUUAACGUUGAGGUAGUGUGACGUUACUUGUGUAAUAUUUUUGUAAUGUAAAAGCUUUACGUGUUUGCUGUGAUGAUUUGAUAUAAAUUUGUUCAGUAAGCAGGAGACGAGUGUACUUGACAAAUAUUGUUCAUAGUACAUCUUCGUGAAUAUAUAAAUUUGAAUCAUAUAGACUCUUAUUAGAGGUGCAGCUGCAGUUCUGCAGUUGGGUUAUGGUUUAACAUGUCUGUGCUUCAGCUCCAAGGUGGUUGUAAACGUAAAUGUAAGCCCGUCACUGUGACCGAAGUAAUUAACAAACUCACAGCCUGUGACUCACCAGCAUGAGACCUCAAGUGACUCAUCUGCCAUAAGAGGAAGGAGUUGUUGCUGUACAGUCAUAACAAGCAAGUUACAGCAUUUCUCUGAUGUCCAUUAUGCUGUCCUGUCAUCCAUGCUUGGCUCUUUCAGAUAGCCUUUUCUCUUGCGACUAUGCUGUCAGGAUCUCUGCAUGUCAAGACUGAAGUGAAAAUCUGUGCAUGCCAAAACUGAAGUGAAAAUCUCAAAUGAGACCUCAAGUGACCCAUCUGCCAUAAGAGGAAGGAGUUGUUGCUGUACAGUCAUAACAAGCAAGUUACAGCAUUUCUCUGAUGUCCAUUAUGCUGUCCUGUCAUCCAUGCUUGGCUCUUUCAGAUAGCCUUUUCUCUUGCGACUAUGCUGUCAGGAUCUCUGCAUGUCAAGACUGAAGUGAAAAUCUGUGCAUGCCAAAACUGAAGUGAAAAUCUCAAAUGAGACCUCAAGUGACCCAUCUGCCAUAAGAGGAAGGAGUUGUUGCUGUACAGUCAUAACAAGCAAGUUACAGCAUUUCUCUGAUGUCCAUUAUGCUGUCCUGUCAUCCAUGCUUGGCUCUUUCAGAUAGCCUUUUCUCUUGCGACUAUGCUGUCAGGAUCUCUGCAUGUCAAGACUGAAGUGAAAAUCUGUGCAUGCCAAAACUGAAGUGAAAAUCUCAAAUGAGACCUCAAGUGACCCAUCUGCCAUAAGAGGAAGGAGUUGUUGCUGUACAGUCAUAACAAGCAAGUUACAGCAUUUCUCUGAUGUCCAUUAUGCUGUCCUGUCAUCCAUGCUUGGCUCUUUCAGAUAGCCUUUUCUCUUGCGACUAUGCUGUCAGGAUCUCUGCAUGUCAAGACUGAAGUGAAAAUCUGUGCAUGCCAAAACUGAAGUGAAAAUCUCAAAUGAGACCUCAAGUGACCCAUCUGUCAUAAGAGGAAGGAGUUGUUGCUGUACAGUCAUAACAAGCAAGUUACAGCAUUUCUCUGAUGUCCAUUAUGCUGUCCUGUCAUCCAUGCUUGGCUCUUUCAGAUAGCCUUUUCUCUUGCGACUAUGCUGUCAGGAUCUCUGCAUGUCAAGACUGAAGUGAAAAUCUGUGCAUGCCAAAACUGAAGUGAAAAUCUGUGCCUCUCAAGACUGAAGUGAAAAUCUGUGUAUAUCAAGACUGAAACGAAAAUCUGCGCAUGUCAAGACUGAAGUGAAAAUCUGGGCAUGUCAAGAAAGAAGUGAGAAUCUGUCCAUGUCAAGACUGAAGUGAAAAUCUUUGCAUGUCAAGAUUGAAGUGAAAAUCUGUGGAUGUCAAGACUGAAGUGAAAUUCUAUGUAUGGCAAGACUGAAACAUGGCGGGAAGAUAAUACUGCAGUAUUACAGGAAGAAAUGUCAGUUUGAUGUGUGUGACCAUGUCAGGCUGAUACUUAUUUGUCCAACAAACUGCCUCUCUUGCUUUACUAUGUUUGCAUGUAGGAGGGUAACACAUAUGCAUGAUAUCAUCUGACUUGUGUUUUGCUUUGAUGCUGUCUAUGUGCAACGUUGGUUACUAUCCACUUGCUUUUCUUUGUUGCGACUACAUGUUUCAGCCUGACAGUCAUCAGGUAUGCAGGCUGUUGUGAUCACAGAACCUGCUGCUUAUUGUAAUGCUAUUCUAUUUCUGUUAAUGUAGAAGCCUCAGAUUGCAUCUUGUUACGUGGGUUAGUGAUCUGUUUUUUGUUUUGGGUGUCAUUGAGCUGCUGGUGUUUGCCUUAUGGUUUUGUUUGGUUUUAUUGGUUGUGGCUGUGUUGAAUGUUCUUGCUGGGACAGGGGUUUCUUGUGUUGAUGGCCAAUCACAGCACAAAAAACAUGUGCAGCUGAAGGACACCUGAAUAAAAAAAAAAGCAGAUGGUUAACCCAGAUGCAGUCUGAGGCCUCCACAUAUCAGAAACACCCGGCUCAGUCAGUAUACAGUACUGUCAGUUGAAAGGACAUCUAUUUAAACUUGGACUGGUAAAUAGCUGCCGCUGUAAAAGGUGUCCUGACAUGGAUCACAUGUCCUAUUUGUGCCUGAAAAUGUGACUGAAUUACGAUUUUGUUGCCUGGGACUCCAACUGAAGGAACCAGUUGAGUAUGAAAUGGCACCAUUAGGCAAAGUACUGUGCUUUAUUUGAGCUGCAGGAUUGCUAGUGGGCUAUGUUAAAAAUGGAGUGUAAAUAGAUUGUAGACUGUCUCUUCAUUCCAGCUCCUUUAAUCUUAUUCUGUGUAUAAGGUGAAUAUUCAUUAGGACAGCUGGUAAAUAGAUUCUUAAGGGUUCUGACAGUGGUGUAUAACACUCAGAAUUACUGGGUUUUUGGAAACAGACCCAGUUUCCAAAAUGCUGUGUUUUCUAGUUUUUAUAAUAGUGCACAAUGGACAAAGUCCAAAAACUCAGUAAUUCUGACAGUUGAUAGAGUUUGUAGAAAUUGUUUUUUGACCUUCAGUUUCAGUUUGAUGACAUUAACUACUGAACCACUGCAGCUAGACAUGUGAAAUUUGGUACAGAGAUAGAUCAUAAAACAUACUUGCAUGUCAUGUUUAUUAUGAUGAUGGAGGUAGUGUGGAACUCUUGAGACUAUUUGACAAGUUAAUGUAAUCAGUCUGUAUUUAAGUAACAUGUUCUUCACAAAUUAUUGUGAUGAUGACAACAGCAGGAGCAAUGAUAGUAAUAAUAAUUAUAUGGCAUUAACAUAGAUGUAUAGGACUAGAUGUCUAUGCAGAAAGAAAGUAUGAAUUUUGCUCUGAACUUCCUUGUUUGAAUUAAUGUCUCAUCAUGUUGGAUUUCCUGUCAUAGGUCAUGUACUUCAAGAAGAAUAAAUAUUUGAGGGUCAUUAUGGAAAAAAAUGUAAUUAAUCCGAAUUGGGAGGUGCACUUUUUAAUAUUUUUUUAUUGUAUGGUUUAAAUGUCACCCCUGAUAUAUUAUUUCUACAUUUAAGUUCUGCUCAGUUUUGCUGAACAAACUUAAGAAAAGGGUUUCUUCAAAAUCUGUUCACUGAGAAAGAAGCCAUUACAGUGAUGAAGGUGUGGGAAGUUGAUAACAUGAUGUUCAUAUACAUGGGAAGCUUGUGUGUGCUUGCUUGGAAAGCUAGAGAACUGCACGUGACAGUAAUUCUAAUCGUCUCAUCUCUGCCUUCCUUCAUUUGAAGCAUUGUGUGUUAGUAGGAAGCAUGCUGAGCUAAAUUAAUGUACAGUUUCUCAUUUCCAUCAUAAGUUUAACAAUGCUAUAAAUGUAGUAAUCAAUAUGUAACAGGAAUUGUUCAUUUAUGGAA